UUUAAUCUAUUCAUAUCUUUAUUUAUGUUUACAUCGCUUAUAUGGUCAUCUGAGGUCAAAUCGAUAGGUAAUUAGAUGGCGUCUGGACUAAAAUACACGCGAAACGAACCUAUAUAUUAUCUACCCCAUGCUCUGUAAACUGUUUAUUUUAGACUUUUGAUAGUUUGGAUAAAUGUUUUACAUUGUUAUAAAUCAAAUAUGAGAAUUUAAGUCAAAUCGGUGACCAUGAAUUUGACAGCUAGUGGCCCUUUAAG
rnacentral:lncRNA from 1 species